rnacentral:rRNA from 1 species
CAGCAGCCACGGUAAUACGGAGGGUGCAAGCGUUAAUCGGAAUUACUGGGCGUAAAGCGCACGCAGGCGGUCUGACAAGUCAGAUGUGAAAUCCCCGGGCUUAACCUGGGAACUGCAUUUGAAACUGUCAGGCUGGAGUCUUGUAGAGGGGGGUGGAAUUCCAGGUGUAGCGGUGAAAUGCGUAGAGAUCUGGAGGAAUACCGGUGGCGAAGGCGGCCCCCUGGACAAAGACUGACGCUCAGGUGCGAAAGCGUGGGGAGCAAACAGGAUUAGAUACCCCUGUAGUCCCUGUCUCUUAUCA